rnacentral:rRNA from 1 species
GUCCACGCCCUAAACGAUGUCAACUAGGUGUUGGGUGGGUAAAACCAUUUAGUACCGAAGCUAACGCGUGAAGUUGACCGCCUGGGGAGUACGGCCGCAAGGUUAAAACUCAAAGGAAUUGACGGGGACCCGCACAAGCGGUGGAUGAUGUGGAUUAAUUCGAUGCAACGCGAAAAACCUUACCUACCCUUGACAUGUCAGGAAUCCCGCUGAGAGGUGGGAGUGCCCGAAAAGGGAGCCUGAACACAGGUGCUGCAUGGCUGUCGU